rnacentral:rRNA from 1 species
GAUGAACGCUGGCGGCGUGCCUAACACAUGCAAGUCGAGCGGCAGCGAGGGGUGCUUGCACCCCGUCGGCGAGCGGCGGACGGCUGAGUAACGCGUGGGAACGUGCCCCAAAGUGAGGAAUAACUGCCCGAAAGGGUAGCUAAUACCGCAUAUUAUCUUCGGAUCAAAGGAUUUAUCCGCUUUGGGAGCGGCUCGCGUCGGAUUAGGUAGUUGGUGAGGUAAUGGCUCACCAAGCCGACGAUCCGUAGCUGGUCUGAGAGGAUGACCAGCCAGACUGGAACUGAGACACGGUCCAGACUCCUACGGGAGGCAGCAGUGAGGAAUCUUCCACAAUGGGCGAAAGCCUGAUGGAGCAACGCCGCGUGCAGGACGAAGGCCUUCGGGUUGUAAACUGCUUUUAUAAGUGAGGAAUAUGACGGUAACUUAUGAAUAAGGAUCGGCUAACUACGUG